CUUGCCCUUUAGCUUCCCAACUGUGCUACCACAACCCUGCUGCCAAAUCAUAGCCAAUUUUUGUAUCUAGAUCUACAUGUAUACUCAUUUCUCCUAUGCAGGACCUUGCCCCUAUAAGGAGUGAAGCCCCCUGCCGGUUUUGGAAGCAAGGUUCUGAAGAGAACUGGUACCUGCUCUCUAGACACUUCAUGAAUUCAAUGUAACACAUACUUUUUGUAGCAAUAUACUGAGAAUACAAUGUGCCAGCUUUUUGUUAUCCUGAAAGAAUAUGUUUUCAUAGUGUUUAUAGUAUGGCUGCCUUCCUGAUGAGUGGAAGAUCCAUAAGAUUGUGUUAAUCUUUGAAUCUGGUGAUCCCUGUGAUGUUGAAAAUUAUAUUAUAGACCAAUCUGUCUUCUGAGCAUUCUAUCAAAGGUCCUAGAAUCAAUUGUAUACAAAAAAGCUUUCUGGCUAAUCAUUCCUUGGUAUCCCAGUUAGAUCUACUGCUCUCCUUUGAUAAAGCAUUUGAUUGGGUCUCACGGGUCUCUGUGGAGGUGGUUCCGAUGGUACUUAUCAAAAAGAUAUCACCUUGUUAGUAUUGAUGGCUACUCCUCUGACAUACUUCCCGUCAGAUGAUUCUAAACUUCAGAGUGUUAUCUGUAGCCCAUCUGAUUCUUUGUCGCUCCAGUCUGACAUAAAUGCAUUGGUCUCAUGGACUCAUUCGAAUUUUCUGUUCAUCAGCCCACGUAAGUGUACCCUCAUAAGAUUCUUCUUUAAUGACUGUAGCUCUCUGGUUUACUGUGUGGACAGUGAUCAAAUCUCUGUUCCUCUAUGUCAUUGUGACCUUGGCGUAAUGGUUUGUGGUGAUGUAUCAUGGGUCAGUCAUUAUGACUCCAUUUUCUCCAAAGCCUACAAUUAUCUUAAUUUAAUUUGUCGGACUUUCUCUACCUCUCUCAA